rnacentral:tRNA from 2 species
CGGGGUGUAGCGCAGUUGGUUAGCGCACCUGCUUUGGGAGCAGGGGGUCCCCAGUUCGAGUCCGGGUACCCCGA